rnacentral:rRNA from 1 species
UACCAGCUCUUCGAGUGGUAGGGAUGAUUAUUGGGCUUAAAGCGUCCGUAGCCGGCUUAGCAAGUCUCCUGUUAAAUUCAGCGACCUAAUCGUUGAGCCGCGGGAGAUACUACUAGACUAGGAGGCGGGAGAGGUCGACGGUACUUCCGGGGUAGGGGUGAAAUCCUAUAAUCCCGGGAGGACCACCAGUGGCGAAGGCUGUCGACUAGAACGCGCUCGACGGUGAGGGACGAAAGCUGGGGGAGCGAACCGGAUUAGAUACCCGGGUAGUCCCAGCUGUAAACGAUGCGGGCUAGGUGUUGGGGUGGCUACGGGCCACUUCAGUGCCGCAGGGAAACCAUUAAGCCCGCCGCCUGGGGAGUACGGCCGCAAGGCUGAAACUUAAGGAAUUGGCGGGGGAGCACCACAAGGCGUGAAGCUUGCGGUUC